rnacentral:lncRNA from 1 species
UCUUCUUUAUCUCCUAUGUUUCUAUCAUCAUUCGUCUAAAGUCUAAACGGUCAUUUAGCUCAUGUACUCAACUUUUAAACACUAACAGUGUUUCUAUUUAACCUUAUAUUUAAAUGACAACUUUACCCGUUUAAGUGAUCGUCUUGUCUAAGGCUAAACGAUAUGUAACCAAUUGUUUGUCAUUUGAUGUUAGGAUCUACUACUAAUUAAUUUUGUCUCGUUUAACUACUUGUUUUUAUUGUGAUUCUUUUCAUGGCCAAAGAAAUAGAUUGAUCAGGUGAAGGUUACAGGUCUG